rnacentral:rRNA from 1 species
UACAGAGGUCCCAAGCGUUACUGAGAAUCACUGGGUUUAAAGGGUGCGUAGGUGGUCCGUUAAGUCAGUUGUGAAAUCCCCGGGCUCAACCCGGGAACUGCUUCUGAUACUGGCGGACUUGAGGCCAGUAGGGGUCACUAGAACUGACGGUGGAGCGGUGAAAUGCGUAGAUAUCGUCAGGAAUGCCGGUGGUGAAGACGGGUGACUGGGCUGGUUCUGACACUGAGGCACGAAAGCGUGGGGAGCGAACGGGGAUUAGAA